GGAUAUGGCUCAGAUUGAACGCUGGCGGCAGGCUUAACACAUGCAAGUCGAGCGGAUGAAAGUAGCUUGCUACUGGAUUCAGCGGCGGACGGGUGAGUAAUGCUUAGGAAUCUGCCUAUUAGUGGGGGACAACGUUCCGAAAGGAGCGCUAAUACCGCAUACGUCCUACGGGAGAAAGCAGGGGACCUUCGGGCCUUGCGCUAAUAGAUGAGCCUAAGUCGGAUUAGCUAGUUGGUAGGGUAAAGGCCUACCAAGGCGACGAUCUGUAGCGGGUCUGAGAGGAUGAUCCGCCACACUGGGACUGAGACACGGCCCAGACUCCUACGGGAGGCAGCAGUGGGGAAUAUUGGACAAUGGGGGGAACCCUGAUCCAGCCAUGCCGCGUGUGUGAAGAAGGCCUUUUGGUUGUAAAGCACUUUAAGCGAGGAGGAGGCUACCUAGAUUAAUACUUUAGGAUAGUGGACGUUACUCGCAGAAUAAGCACCGGCUAACUCUGUGCCAGCAGCCGCGGUAAUACAGAGGGUGCGAGCGUUAAUCGGAUUUACUGGGCGUAAAGCGUGCGUAGGCGGCCAAUUAAGUCAAAUGUGAAAUCCCCGAGCUUAACUUGGGAAUUGCAUUCGAUACUGGUGGCUAGAGUUUGAAGAAGUU
rnacentral:rRNA from 1 species